UACGAAGGGGGCUAGCGUUGCUCGGAUUGACUGGGCGUAAAGGGCGCGUAGGCGGUUCGUACAGUCAGACGUGAAAUUCCUGGGCUCAACCUGGGGGCUGCGUUUGAUACGUGCGGACUUGAGUGCGGAAGAGGUCGUGGAAUUCCUGGUGUAGCGGUGAAAUGCGCAGAUAUCAGGAGGAACACCGGUGGCGAAGGCGGGUCUCUGGGCCGAUACUGACGCUGAGGAGCGAAAGCGUGGGGAGCGAACAGG
rnacentral:rRNA from 1 species